GAAACAAUAAUAGAAUGCAUGUGACGCUGCUCUAGCAACGUCCUCAACUUUGUCCCUAUUUUUAGGCUUUAUACUUUAGCGAUGAAACACCAACCCUACUUUUUAGGGGGUUUGAAACAUGCUCUUUCUAAUGAGAAUGAUUUAACAGAGUUUCCAGAAGUUCUUUUUUUGUAAAGGUGGGCUGAAAAUACUCUAUUUUUGGCAUUUUUAAAAAACCCAUCAACUUUACGCUCAAUUUGUGAACUAUUGGAAAACAGUAGGAGAAUGACAUUUUAUAUUCGGAAACCUUGUGUUGCUAGGUUAUUAUGCACAAAGUUUCACGUUUCUCAUACCUUUCCUUCCAGAGAUAUAAAAAACCAAACAUUACCUUUUUUCAAGCCACAAUAAUUUUCAGCCAAUUUUGCUCCAAAUUAUCUAGAUGGAGAUUGCUCAUGAGAAUAUUUUUAUUAUUUUGUUUAAUAGAGCACAAAAAGUUGUACAAGAUGGCCAAAUUUUGUUUCUCUCAACAAAAUCUUGCCUGAGAUAUGUUUUCAAAGUUGCUGAAACCUCAGAGUCAUACUGUAGAAGACUGCGGUAUAGGGUGACACAAAUGACUAUAUCUCCGCAAGUAUUGCAUCAGCAUACAUAACACUAUCAAUGUUGAUUGGGGACGUUUGUGGAACACAGGUUCACACCAAAUUUCAUUGAAAUCCAUGAUGGUUGAGCAGGGUACUUUUCUGAAAUCAGAUCACUUGACAUGGAAUGACCCUGAGUAGUAAGGAGUACAUACCAAAUUUUGCAUAAGGCUUUAGCCCCGCCCCUUUUGUGACAUCACCACACCACGCCCCUUGGAGGACUGUUGUUUUGAGGGGGUGGUAGCCCUGGCCAUUUUUGUGAUGUCACUUCUGGUCCCGCCGUUGGAGGUCUUGUUUUGCCCCAUCCUAACCCCUCCCAGUUUUAUGACAUCAUUUCUGGGGGGCCCCACCCUUGGAGGACUUGUUUUUAGGGCUCACUAGAACUGCCCAUUUUGUUACAUCAUUUCUGUUCCCCCUUGGAGGACUGUGACAUCAUAAUCCCUUGCUCUCCUGUCUGGGUCUCAACCCCCUUUUACAGGAAGUAGCACAACAUCACUUCCGGGGGUCUUCCCUCCCUCCCUUGGAGGACUGUGAUGUCAUAAAAAUCAGACCCUUUUAUAGGAAGUAGUGAGGGAUUGCAGAUGUUAGAACUGCAGGGGGCGCAAAAUUAAUUUAAAAAGUCUGUUUUCACACACUGCAUGGUGGAAUGAUUGUAUCAGCCUAUAUAUAAACAUAUAGGAUGUAACAAUUCCUAUGAUUGUAUCAGUGUUAUAUGUAAACAUACAGGAAUGGAUUUAGAGGUAAACAAAGGCUGGAUCAAUUCCUGAGCCGGGACCCUAUUGUUAAUGCAAGGAGUUUGAGCAAUAUCCUGUAUUUGGUUUAGGAGUUUUGCGUUGCAGGUUGGUAAAAAUAAAAUACUAUUUUGCAAAAAACAUUUUUGUACCUUGAGUGGGAUACAAGGUAUAUAUGUAAAAAUAAAAAUAAAAUGGGCUAUUUAUGCACAUGCUUGUUUACGGCAAUAGAGCAUAGGACUUGUUGUGGCAUGUCCCAAGCUUAUGAGUGUGAGAGGUGUACACACGUGAUGAUACGUGUGGCCAAAGGGUCUAGAACAUGCUCAGGCCUGUCCCAUGUUUGACCUUCUUUUCAAAAGGCUGAUAAAAAGGAGUUCUCUGCAGGCAGCUGCCAACUCAUCUGUUUAAAAUGUAGACAGCCUUCGCCUAAAAUGGACCCUAGCGACAUAAAUAAUAAAAAAUUUGUAGACCCUUCUAAAUCGUGGUCUGUGUCAAGGCCUAUUUUGAAUGACUGUCAUAAAAUAUGCUGUACAAUGCAUUACUUCAGGCCUAUUUUGUUUGGCUGUCAUCUAUCCUGUUGUGAUGUAAGGGGUGCUUACCCAGGACUGGGUUCUGUUCCGGGUUAUAGCCAAAAUCACAAUGUCUCGUUAAUAACAAACGUCUCAACUGAUGAAGAGGCUGCAGAGGAUUUCUUAGAAGCGGAUUUUGGAUAUAAACAUGAUAAGAGAUUGGCUCUUUCAAG